rnacentral:rRNA from 1 species
CACGUAGGGCGCAAGCGUUGUCCGGAAUUAUUGGGCGUAAAGAGCUCGUAGGCGGUCUGUUACGUCUGCUGUGAAAACCCAGGGCUUAACCCUGGGCUUGCAGUGGAUACGGGCAGACUAGAGGCAGGUAGGGGAGAAUGGAAUUCCCGGUGUAGCGGUGAAAUGCGCAGAUAUCGGGAGGAACACCGGUGGCGAAGGCGGUUCUCUGGACAGUUCCUGACGCUGAGGCACGAAGGCCAGGGGAGCAAACGGG